CACUCAGGGCCCUGGAGAGUUUCCAUGGAAGUUUUAUCUGAUUCCUUUGUGCUGCUCUGCUCUGGUCAUGGCUCUGUUGUUGAUCACCAUGUGCUACGUUUAUAAGAAAAAACAGCUCAAGUCGACACCAGAUACAGAGCUCAUAUACACUGAUAUCCAUCACGAGAAAAGAGUGAAA